rnacentral:rRNA from 1 species
GCGAACGCUGGCGGCAGGCCUAACACAUGCAAGUCGAACGAACCUUCGGGUUAGUGGCGGACGGGUGAGUAACACGUGGGAACGUGCCCUUUGGUUCGGAACAACUCAGGGAAACUUGAGCUAAUACCGAAUGUGCCCUUCGGGGGAAAGAUUUAUCGCCAUUGGAGCGGCCCGCGUCUGAUUAGCUUGUUGGUGAGGUAAAGGCUCACCAAGGCUACGAUCAGUAGCUGGUCUGAGAGGAUGAUCAGCCACAUUGGGACUGAGACACGGCCCAAACUCCUACGGGAGGCAGCAGUGGGGAAUCUUGCGCAAUGGGCGAAAGCCUGACGCAGCCAUGCCGCGUGAAUGAUGAAGGUCUUAGGAUUGUAAAAUUCUUUCACCGGGGACGAUAAUGACGGUACCCGGAGAAGAAGCCCCGGCUAACUUCGU